rnacentral:rRNA from 1 species
CCCUUAGAUGUUCUGGGCUGCACGCGCGCUACACUGAUGCGCUCAACGAGUUUAUGACCUUGCCUGGAAAGGUUGGGUAAUCUUCUUAAAACGCAUCGUGAUGGGGAUAGAUUAUUGCAAUUAUUAAUCUUCAACGAGGAAUUCCUAGUAAGCGCGAGUCAUCAGCUCGUGCUGAUUACGUCCCUGCCCUUUGUACACACCGCCCGUCGCUCCUACCGAUUGAGUGAUCUGGUGAAUAAUUCGGACUGCAGCAGUGUUCAGUUCCUGAACGUUGCAGUGGAAAGUUUAGUGAACCUUAUCACUUAGAGGAAGGAGAAGUCGUAACA